GGGACCGUAGCUCAGUUGGAUAGAGCAUCUGCCUUCUAAGCAGAGGGUCGCAGGUUCGAGUCCUGCCGGUCCUACCA
rnacentral:tRNA from 1 species